CCCAGUCAGGACACAGCAUGGACAUGCGGGUCCCCGCUCAGCUCCUGGGGCUCCUGCUGCUCUGCCUCCCAGGUGUGCGAUGUGACAUCCAGGUGACCCAGCCUCCACCCUCCCUGGCUGCCUCUGUAGGAGACACAGUCACCAUCACUUGCCGGGCCAGUCAGGGUGUUAGCAGUUACGUAAACUGGUACCAGCAGAAACCAGGGAAAGCUCCUACUCUCCUGAUCUAUAAUGCUAAUAAUUUGCACUCCGGAGUCCUGUCGAGGUUCAGCGGCAGUGGGUCUGGGACAGAUUUCACUCUCACCAUCAGGAACCUGCAGCCUGAAGACAUUGCAACUUAUUACUGUAUGCAGCAUAAUAGUUCCCCUCCCACAGUGAUUCAAGCCAUAACAAAAACCUCCCGAAGAAGCAGAAGUCAGACUCCCUGGCAGAAACAGUCUCCAGCACUCCUGUCAGUGGCUGUAGGAGUCAAGGCCACCAUCACCUGCAACGCCAGCACAGACACUGAUUAUGAUAUGCAGUGGUAUCAACAGAAACCAGGAGAAGCUCCUAAGCUCCUUAUUAGAGGAGCUACAACUCUCAUCUCUGGGAUCCCUUCCUGGUUCAGUGGCAGUGACUAUGGACCAGAUUUUACCCUGGAAUGUGAGGAUUCUGCACACUACUUGUGUCAGCAGGAUGCUAAUUGGCCCUCCCCGUGA